GAGUUCUGAAGCAGAAGAAGCCUGUCAGUAUGUGAUAAGAGUUGUGAAUAAAAACCCAUUACUUGUGAGAGAACUGAAUCUGAGUAAACAUAAAUUGGACAGCACACAUAAAGUGAUUCAGCUCGCUGCUCUACUGGAGGAUAAACAUUGUAAACUGAACAUCAUUCAGAUGAAUAAAAACAGUAUUACUGAAGAAGGUUGUGCUGCUUUGACUUCAGCAUUUAAUUCAAAUCCUUCAAACCUGACAGAGCUGGAUCUGAGUGGAAAUACACUAGGAAACAAAGGAAUACAGAAUAUUUGUUUGCUUUUGGAAAAUCCACAAUGCAAAUUGGAGAAACUGAAACUUUCAGACUGCGGUAUCAAUGGUGAAAAUUACAAAACCUUGAUUUCAGUUCUGAGAUCAAGCCCUUCAUGCCUGACAAAGCUAGAUCUCACCGGAAACUAUCCUGGAAUAUUAGGACUACAGUGGCUCUUCAAAUUACUAGGGGGUGCAAUGAGUAAUUCAAUAACAAUCAGGUAAUAAAAGCAUUCAAUUACUUCAAGAGACAGAAAUGUAGUCAGCUGUUUGAAACAUAUUAAAGUUGGGCAGAUUAGUUGAUGUGAAACUGAUAAACAGGUAGAGGAGUUGCUAC